AGCGAACGCUGGCGGCGUGCCUAACACAUGCAAGUCGAGCGCGGGCAUUUCGGGGGUAACCCCGGGAUGUGCUGAGCGGCGGACGAGUGAGUAAUACGUGGACAACCUGUCUUAAAGCUUGGGAUAACUCCGGGAAACUGGAGCUAAUACCGGAUAAGACCACGGUGUCUAUGGAUGCUGAGGUAAAAGGCGGCCAGGAAACUGGCUGUUGCUUAAAGAUGGGGUCCACGUCCCACUGGUAGUUGGUGGGGUGAUGGCCUACCAAGGCGACGACGGGUAGCCGGCCUGAGAGGGCGACCGGCCACACUGGGACUGAGACACGGCCCAGACUCCUACGGGAGGCAGCAGUGGGAAUCUUGCGCAAUGGGCGAAAGCCUGACGCAGCGACGCCGCGUGAGGGAUGACGGCCUGG
rnacentral:rRNA from 1 species